UUUUUGAGGGUCUCAGUUGAGAAAGCAUUUGGGUUUUCUAAGUUUGCAAAACCAAAGUUUCUGUGGCUGCAUUCAAGGCUUGAUAUUCUGUUUUCAAGAUGGCUGAUAAGGUAGCAAAAAGGGCCAAUAGAAAGAUAUAUGGACUUGUGUAUUCUAGGGGAACCACAGGCAGAUUCAAACCAUAUGAGAUAGCCAAGGAUGAUGACCUAAUUAUAGGGAGUCUGCCAAAAGAAAUUAUGAGGAAAGUUAGUAGGAGAUCUAACAGCAUUAGAUACAGGGCAAAAGAAAGCUUGUUAGGACAUUGUAUUGACAAUGAUAAGGGAAAAGAAGGUACAGAAAUGAUAACUAUGAAAGGGAAGUCCAAGGCAGAGUAUUCUAAGCUAAAGGAGAGUCAGACUGGUGAAGAGGUUCCUAUUGGCAAUGGACAGAUAGAGGUAGACACUGUGCAGGAGGAGGACAACAAGAACGUAAACACUCCAAUGAACAGAAAGAGGGGUGCAGACGGAGAAAUAGUUUGUGCAUAUUUGUUAUCUCCACAGAAAAGUGUGUCCAGGCUUCGUCCAAGGAAAGAGGUUCCUGCUUUCCGCAUGGUUAAUCUGGAGGAGAAUGACAAUGAAUUUGUAGUUGGCAAGAGAGUCAAGGUUUACUGGUCAGGUUCACGCAGAUGGUUCACAGGAUGCAUUAUAGCUUUUGAUAAGAAGAAUAGGCUGCAUAGGAUUCUGUAUGAAGAUGGUGACAAGGAGGCGUUGGACUUGAGGAAAGAACGGUUUGAACUUGAGGUAAUGCCAACUGACAAUUUCAAGUUGAAAAGCAAACCCUAUUCUGCUAGAAAGGCUGAUGGACUGGAUACUGGUAAUGUUAGAGAAGCUGUGAUGAAAGAGUACUCAAGAAAUGUUAGUGGUGCAAAAACAAUGACAAAGAGUUCAGAGUCCAAGCUGAAAAGAGAAGCAAAGAAAGAGGGCAAAAGGACAAGUUCAAAAGCAUGGAGGAAGGACACUGAAGUUAUUAUGGAGGAUUUAGCCUCUAAUGUGGAUGUGAUUCCAACGAAAGUUGGUGAAGUAGUAAAUAAUAAAGUCAGUGACAAGGAAGAACCUGGUGAGGCAAGUCCUGAAGAAGAUGAAUCUAAUUUCUUUUCUGAAGCUCCUAAAGAAGGUAGCACAGAGUUUAAAGCAGAAGCAGCUGUAGUGAAGUCUCAUUCUGAGUUCUGGAGCAUGGUAUCAGACAACAGUAGCAUUAAAGAAAGUGGAAAAGCUGUGGAAGAUGAUUUCUUAAAGAUCAGCAUUGCUGAAUUAGCGAAAGAGCCAAAGGGUUCAAGGAAAAGACUUAUGCCUAAAGCUAAAAGAAUAAGAACCAAUAGGACUUUCAGUAGGGAAUUUGGCAAAGAUGUGGGGACGCUAGAGGCACAUAUGAAGUCUCAUGUUCGCUAUGAUGAAUUAAAGACCACACAAAUAGAUGUUGAUAUCAACAGUGAGGCAAUUGACGUUAGUCAACAGAACAUUAGCAGAAAGAAUGAAGCCCUUGAAAAGAAAGAAAGUGAAGGAGAUGAAACAUUAAAUGAAUCUCCAUUUACUGCAUUGGAUCUCACUUCAAAGAAAAUUGCUACAGGAUCUGGUAACAUCAGUAGAAAAGCAGCUAAUGAGGUGGAAAACCUGACAAAAACAGAAAAUAAAGCAUCUGAACAUGUCACCACUUGUCUCCGCAUAAACCCUCAGAAUGUGAAAGUUGAGAGGGAGGUCCUGGCUGCUCAAAUUGAGUUUGUUACUUCCAUUAAAAAAGGUGAAGAGGAAGUAAUAACUGGGAUCACCAAUGUUCAAAGACCUGGAGACGUUCGCACAUUGAACACUAACCAUGGGGCUGAAUCUAUCCUGGAAGCAGAGAGCAUGAAGCCCUGUGAAGCAUCUUCCUAUCUGCUGCCUAUUAGGCAAAUAAGUCCAGAAGAAGCAAAGCCAAAUGUUUUUCAGGGAAAGGUCAAAUUGGAGAAUGGUGAAUCUGAUAAAGAAUCCAAAGAAGGCAUGGACUGCAUCAGUGAGAAAUCAGAGAUCUAUGGUAGCAAGGAAGGACCAAAGCAAUGAUAGUGCUGCCAGCUGAAGUAGCCUUAUCAGAAAGGCAAUUUGGGGUUUAAACAAAGUAAAUAUAUAUUGACAGACGUAUGAAAGAGUUUUUGGAUGCUAUGAAAACUGCAUUAUACUCAAUAUUCUGCAGCGAUAGCAAUCCAGCAACCUCUAAUGGAAAUACGAGGCAGCUAAGAUGUGCAUAGAGAUGGUGACUUGAUAUGAAGACACAGAAAUGGGCAGGCUAACAUAAUAAUUCUGUUGUUAGACACUUAAAUGCACCGAACAACAAGACAAUACUGAAGUCAAGAAGCGUCUAAGGUAAAAACUGUUGUUAUUUUUGUUUGCCGGAGAAACGAUGAUACCAUACUCUCUUCAUCAGUCAUUAUCCAGUGCAUAUUCUAUACAACACUGUUAUUUCAGGAAUGAGUUUUGUUCGUUGAAUGAUUUCAGCUCUCUUACUACCCAUGAACCCCGUGGGUAUCCUGUUACUUUCAGCUGGUUUUGUAACAAAUGAUCUAGCUGGGAAUGGUUAUUCUCGCCAAAGCUGUUAUAACAAUUACUGAUAGAAUUACAGCUUUUUCUAAAACUUUA